ACAGGUGUACGUGGCUGGGUGUCAAUAGCUCCCACACCAUUCUCUCGUCCUCAUUGUUCCGGAAGCAUUACAAGUGGUGGGAGGAGGUGCGGGCGUCUACGAUGUGGUGGUUGGUGUGUUUCUGGCCUUGGCACAGCUAUCAUGGCCGGUCACCAACGAAGAGCAGAUCCCUAUCCUAAAACCACUCUUGAAGAAACUACUGCGAACCCAAACCUCGUCCACGCCUCGAAAUCAACCAGCUUAUUCGCAUCAGGAUAUCCAAGUACCGUGCCAAGGACCCUAUGAGGCAGUGGUGUUCAACUCUAGCCUGCUGUACUCUCCACCUACCUUUGCUGUGAUAGGUAAUGAGAGGCAGUGGUGUUCAACUCUAGCCUGCUGUACUCUCCACCUACCUUUGCUGUGAUAGGUAAUGAGAGGCAGCACAGCACAUCUCUGAAUAUACCAUCUACUGUGCCUCUUUUACAGCUGUUGAAACACAAAUGUCCUGUAAUGAGAAUGUAACGGGAAAAUCAAGGGUUCUUAUCUACUAUGACAGGAAAAUUAAGGCUUCCUCCUAUGUACAGAAAGCAAAAUCAAGGGUUCCUAACUAUUAUGACAGCAAAAUCAAGGCUUCUUAUCUUCAAUUACAACAAAUUCAAGGCUUCCCAAUUGAAUCAAGGCUUCUUGUCUACUAUACAGCAAAAUCAAGACUUCAUCUUAUGUACAAUGACAGCAAAAUCAAGGCUUCCCAAUAGAGUCAUAAAGUGAAGACAUGGCAGUCCUUAGUCCAUCCCUGAUCAAAUAUUUCUAUAAACUACACCAACACUGGACAGUACAGUUGAUAACAAAUUUACAAAAAAGACUAAUUGCCCAUAUGGCUAAUAAGCUAAAUGAUAAAAUAAUAAAGUAUUAAAACAAAUAUUGUAACUAAAUUAACUUGUGGUAAUUACAUAAAUAAUUAACUAUCUAAAUUAAGAGCCUGGACAGUAUUAAGAAAGUUUAUCAUCACACUGUACAUAACUUCCCCGAGUCUAUGAUGAUGAUGAUGUCUGCGGGUAUCCAUUGUGUGGAAACCAAUUUAGUCACUGACAGGUAGACACUUUCAUGGCUAUAUGCCCCAAAGGUUUGAGAUGUGAGGAAAACAAAAAGAAUGAUCACAUUAAACACAAUACCGUAAUUAGCACUUAAAAAUUUAAUUAAAAUCUCCCAAGCAUCAUCACUACCACUAAUUAUCCCGGAAAUCAGGAUGUUCAGGAGUACCUAUACUAAAAUUUUCUACAAAAUAUUGAUAUCAAUGUAAAAAAAGAAUAACAAAUAUUUUUUUUUCUGAGGUUUGCAGCCCUGAGAACUAUAGCCACAUUACACUACAGUACAGGAUAUAUCUCAACUAACUGACAUUCAUAUUUACUUUAUAUAAACUAACUGGAUUGGUUGCAGAUCAAAUGAGUUUAGACCUUUAACCCCUUCACUAUAUGGACAACACUUUAAACAUUUUAUUACAUUAACACAUAGUGACCCUCCCCCCAUACACAAUAGGUUAAAGCUCCAAUUAGGAUCUAUCAGAAGUUUAUCCCAACCAUAAGGAUUAAAGUAAAGCCUAUUAUACCUUCUCAAUCAACCUAAUGGCCAGGUGCUGUAUGGAUCUAUAAGGGUCUAAACCCAUUUGACAGGGCAUCACUGUGGCGGCAUAACUACAUUAAACUAUAACAGUUC